GACUCAGUAGCUCAGUGGACAAGAGCAUCGCUCUUCUAAAGCGUUGGUCGUAGGUUCGAAUCCUACCUGAGUCG
rnacentral:tRNA from 1 species